GCUGUGUUGGUUUAGUGGUAAAAUCCGUCGUUGCCACUCGAUUCUAAGCCUGACACAAGGUGAUGAUUUCAGUACUCGACGGGCCCCGUGUUCGAUUCACGGACACAGCA
rnacentral:tRNA from 1 species